rnacentral:lncRNA from 1 species
UCCGGCGGGGGUGGUGGAGGCAGAAACUGACUGAAGGAUGGAGAGAACCCUUGCGGAGUAACGAGGAUAGCCGGAGAUUUCAAGCGAGAGCAAAAGAACGGCAGAAAACACGCGAGAGAUAGAGGAUAUAUGACAAAGAGGAGGAAGGAAGAGCGAGCACGAUGUAUAACGUGGACGAGACGGAGAGGAUCAGAGAAAAAGGAGAUGAAAGGUGGAGCAGAAAGAGAAAGAACAGUCUGGCUAUGUGUGCGUUACGAGAAUCGAAGUGGAAGAAAGAGCAGGAGAUAUAUGGGUAGUGAUGGACUUAAGAGAUCUUGAACCAGACAUCAAUUGAAUGGAACUAUCUCGUAACCUCAAAGAAUUAUUGCAUUGAAAUGGAACACCUUUAUUAUUGAACUGCCCAAUCCUCUCUGUAUCUCUGCAACGAUCCCCUAAUAAAAUAUAGAAGAUAAUUUGAUGCAUACUUUGGUAAUCUAUAUUAAAUUUUCAUCAAAUUAGAUGACAGUAGUCAGAUAUAAUUUAUCAUUCAAGGUUGUUACGAGGGAAGAUUGCUCGAAAACGCAGCAGGGAGAACGAAAUUAUACCUAACGCUCUUGGAUCCAGAAAUGUAGAGACGUAGUGUGAGGUUGGAUAGAUGAGAUUGAUUCGAACCAAUGUCCAAGUUUGAUUUUUUGUUCUGUCUAAAUUUGCGAGUUUAUAAAAUUUGAGUUUACAAUUUUGUAAAGUCAGACGUAUAGAAAUGUAGAAAUUUGGAAAUUUUCAGUUUGGAAUUGAGUGACUCCCGCAAUGGCCUCCUCCCCUGAAGGAUAUGCUCUAUCCCUAUUCCUAGAUUCAUGCCAUCGCUGGAUAGAAAGCAGCGGACUGUGUUGGAGGAAGCGAGAAGAAUGGAACAGGGACAGAUAGAUAACGAUGAAGCGGGAACGAAGUAAGGGGAACGGUGGGGCUGGUAGGGAGGAUAGGAGAAAGAGCGAAAGAGGGAGGGAACGGAGGGCACAGAGGGAGUCGAGUGCAGCGGCCUGGCCGCCUAUACUCUGCGUGACUAUAGGCAGUCCGGCUAGGCUAGAGUCCGCGUAUAAUGUAUUCUCGAAUAUCGUGCACUCUCUCAUGAUCAAUAUAAGCUCCGACGCGGGCCGGAGAUGCACGAAGACCCACCUCCUCCUUCCUCGGCCCGCCCGGACGAUGUUUUUUCGUGCGGAGUGCAACGCACGCUGGAUCGCGGGAACUGCACUCGCUCUUCUCCCCUCUCUUUCACUCCUUCCUCAUUAUCUCCGUUUCUCUCUGACCCGUCGAUUCGUCGGCUCUCGCUCUUUCACCCUCGAUUAUCCGUGACAGUGUCGAAGCGAAAUCGAGGAGGGGACACGACGAUGCAGCGGGAAAGAAUGAAUGUUAUAAUCUUGGGAAUUAUUUAAAUUCUCUCGUUAGCAACUGUUCACGAACGUGUAUGAGAGAAUCGGUGUUCCUCCGGUUAAUGAAUGACGAGAUAAUGCUACCCGUUGCCAGGCAGCUGUUGCAUAGGUACUUUUUACGAUUAACGUCACGGUGAACAGCGGUGCUCGGUUUGUAUACCCGGUAGACUCGAAACUUUUCUACCUGUUGGUUAUUCAUUUAAUACGUCGACGCGUUAUGUGUUCAUUUAUUAGCGAACACGUUUGUAACAGGUACGGAACAAUGGCUUUAACGUAGCAGCGAAGCGUGAUAGACGAGCCGGGGUCGUCCCAAAUGUUCCCGGCAGAGGCCGAGCGAUAUUCACUCAUACGAAUUAAAGUUUGAGCUUACACUUGCCGGACACCUUUGCCAACACUUGGUUCCUCUGCUUAUUGACUCCUGCUGCUCUCCGCAACCCCUUCAUCAACCUUUCGAGAGUAAUGAAGCUUGUGACGACAAAUAUUUAACAUACAUGGGCCUAACCUCUUGGACCCGCUUUAUGAUCCUUCAUCUAUGACGUUCACGUGCAAUUAAGUUUCCUCCCGCAGUUCAUCUUUGACCAAACGAAGGACCUCGUCGAAGAGCCCCUAUUCUGGCAACGAGGUCAAUGUUUUCGAAUCAAGAUGCAAAAUGAAGGAGCGGAUCAGUGAAGGGCAAAAGGGCAAGGAGGAAAGGAGAUAACCACUGCACGAAAGGUAGAACUGGCCAGAGAAAGAAAAUUGGUAGAGGCAGGCCCGUGCACGUUCCAGAAAACUGGCCGCCAUGUCGGUCUCCAUCGCCCCCACUACGAAACACGUAUAGCCACGAGAUAUCGUCCGUUGCACUUUUCAAGCUCUCGUGCGAACGCACCGUAUUAUACGUGUGUGCAAGUACGAAGCGUCGAGGAGCUCACACGCAUCCACCAAGCAUACGCGUAGUCGCCGCUCUCCACCCGUGAGAGGAGAGACUGGUCCGUCCGACGUACUGGGAAAUAAAAUUCUCUGGUGACAUUCUGUUGUCACAUCUACACUCAACUUCGUGCUAAACGUUAUGAAUUCCUUCAGGUUGACGUUUCAAUCUUUUAACAUAUUACACACCUCUCAACUAACUCAUUAACUGCCAACUUUUCUAUCUCGUUAACUCAUUUAACAUGCUUUCAGGUUGAUCAGGCAAUUAGCUAACUAUUCGAUACGAAGAUGCUGACGUUGAUAACACUGAAAUGUUACUGCUAACUCGCUGUAUUGAUAAUGUUAUUAAGAUAUCGUUCUAUAAGAUGACUAAAGUAGUAAAGAAUGAUAACAUAUGUCAAAUUAGACUACACGAGUUUAAACAAGGAUACUUUAUCCUUAAGGAUUAUCUUAACAUUAUCAAUGUACCGUUAAGUAUCGAUAACAUGUCGGUAAUUUGUGGAUAGUAAUCGAUAUCGACACCUCUACGUGGUUUCCGUUCCUCUGUCACAAGAUUUCCUUCCACAAACAUGAUCCUGUGGUACAGAAAGAAUUUCGGUAAAUAUGUUUCAGUAUUCGUUAAAAGAAAACAGUAGCAUUUGAAGUUAACCAAACGUUUACCCGGUGUUACAGAAUUAUUUGUAGAAGCGAUUCCCCUGAUCUGGCAAACAUGUAACAGAAAAAGAGAGAGACGUCAGUGAAAAUUAGGUAGGGUUAGAACGACGUUGCGGGCGGGAUUUUCGGUGCAUGCUGGCUGAUUUUCUAAGGCGACCUUAGGUGGGAUAACGGACUCUCUCCCACUCGUUGCAACGAGCUGGCAACGCCAUUGGCAAGUGGCAACGCUGGCUGACAGGCCGGUGGGAGGGGUAUAACAGUGAGACUAUAGCAAUGUGGAGUGGGGUCGAUGGUCCCCCACUAGUUACGCCACUGGCAGUGAAUUUCGCACGGGCAAACCAGAACUGCGAAACAGAGACGGAACGCGACAGACCACCAAGCAAAGGGGGUGAGAGAGCGAAGACAGACCGAUAGAGAAAGAGAGAAGGCAGCCAUGUGCGCCUGAGACAGCCUCGACUUUGCAACUAGGAACAUUCGGCUCGUUCUCGUUCCCGUUCUCCUUCGCGCCGAAUUCGUGCUAGCGAGUAAGUACGUUUACCCUGUCGAGCCUCCUUCUACCCUCGUUCAGGCAACCUCUCUACCCAGCAACCUCCCCUCUCUUCCCUUCUUGCUCUGUCUUUCUGUCUCUGUCCCUCCUCUUGCCACCCCCGCGGAAAAGCAAAUUCUCUCCGUGUCACUGAACCCGGCCGUCUGACCCCGUCGUUCGGUUUUUCCGCACGAAGUGCCUCGACCUCGUCCGGAAGUAGGAUGAGCGGACUCUUCUCCCUUGCUCGGUUAUCCGUAUCAGGAACUCGAUUCUAGACAGUUGUCUCGAAUCGAGCCAUUUUUUCCUCCCAUUGCCAUCUAGAAACAAAGUUUCUAGCCAAACCUACUGCCAGUAUCUUACAAUUUUUUCUUUGCAGGAAAACUUGUCACACCGUCCAAAAAGCUCACCUUUAGAAAACAUUGGUCUAAGAGCUAGAAAAUUCUUCUUCUACAUUGUUCGAGUUUCCUGAAAACAUAGGGAGGUAGAUGAUGCGAACCCUGUCGCGUCUGGAACUCGAAUGCAGCUCGCGGUUGAUCGUUUUCGAGACCGAAGGUGCAAGCUUCGUUCCGUCGUUCCGCUCGUUCCUCCGUUCCUUCUGUCCACGUUCCGUCGUCCAUCGGUUCGUUCGCUCGUUCAACCGGCGUCUCACGGCACGCAGUCUGUCGCUGUCACCGACGAAGCUCGCUUGUCGCGCAGCCGUAUGUUCGAAAAACGAGUCAAGUUUUUAUCAGUUACGUUAUUUUUAUUGCAUCUCUCAUUUUUUAGUUUGUAGUGUUUCAAAGUUGUUCGCUAACAUCGAAUACCCAUUCAGGUAAUUCUUCAAAAACGGAUAAGUGUAUAUUCUUCGUUAAUAUCCUUUCAUCAUCGUCCUUCCCGAUUACGUUCCGACGUUUUUUAAUUGUAAAAAUCAUUUUGUUUAUCGAACCGUUUAUUUGUCGAAGCAGUAGAGUUCCUUGCCCUCUCGAGAGCACCAGACAUCCCCUAACCACCUCCAGCUCGAUCAUGGGGUACCAACCUUCGCUCUUGUCAAUUUCCAAAAGAGAUUUUCGUUACCAGAUCAUUUGAUUUCCCCGAAAAUCAUUUCAGAAAAGCCGGUGACCGUGAGACGGCGAGCUUCGCAACCGAAUCGAGAAUUUUCUGGACUCGAGCUUUUCCCGAUACCACUCGCGCGAGUAGAGGCUCUGACUUGCCGCGAUGUGCACGCGUCCGCCGCGAAGAAAGAUGACAUAGGAUCUUCCGACGAAUGGUGACGCGGGUGUCCGGCAAGUGGCAGUGUUUUUCUCUCCAGAAAAUCUGAAAUCGCCGAUUUCCUCUUGAUAGUGUGAGUCGUGCCUCGUAAUACAUGGUGUCGGGUGUGUACGUGUGCAGUACAGUGUCCACACAGUGAAUGGCCGUCGUGUGGAGGCCCCUGUGCUUUUGUGGCAGCCCCGUGGAUAGCUCUAGAAUACCUGGCUACACUUGAUGGGAUAGUCUCCUGUGGACAAAGAUGCGAAUUUCUAUGUCGAUGAAUAUUUGAACGUGAACAAGGAGCUUUGAGAAAGCGUUGGCAGCUCGUAAUUCAAUUUCUCUUUCGAACGAUAAGGAGAGAACGGCUGGAAAUACUCGGAGAGGUAGUCGUGAUAUUCCAUUGUGUCGUGUUUUCCCCAUCAAGGGGCAUUGACAUUGCUUUGUUUCCAGAAACAACAUGUUCUAUUCUUCGUACACUGGGUUACAAGUCGUAAAUGAGAUAACAAUAGAGACAUUGUAUCGAUGGAUUUGUUGCAGCAGGAAUGUUUACAAUUGCCUUUCGAUUAUGACUUUUGAUUUUCAUUUACUUGCAAACUUUCGAACUGGAUAAAUUGUCCGAUGCCCUAUACGUAUGUAUCAUCUAUAAGUUUCACGGACGCCAUAUUGAAAUGGCGCGCAGCAACCUAGUUACGUUAAAUGCAAGCCCUCUAGAACUAGUAAGUUUCAACGGAAUACAUAUAAACUUUGAGUAGUUAAACUAAAAAAGUGCGUAUACAAAGAAAUUGUCGUCUAAUGUGCACCUUUCUUUUAUGAAAAGUAUAGGUUAAUUCUUGGAACUACACACUGCCGCCACUGUACCACGAAUAGAGAAACCUGAGUCAAACUAAUUCUCGAGGCAUUAGUUUCGUAAAAUUCAAGGAAUGAAUUGAUACGGUGCCAAAUAGCCUUCAUUAUUUACGCGAGGUCAAUGACACUGAACCACACACUGGCUUAGGUUGAAAUUUCACUUUGGAAUUAUUGGAAUAUAAACGUAGAGCAAAUUAAGCCUGCAUAAAUUGUGACACAACAUGCGAAAGCAAGAUUUACGAUUCCAAUCUGUUUGCGAGUCGUUUGAUUCCUAGGAUCGCUGAAAAUCUAAAAUAACGAGAUCGAUUGAAUCAACGGCUCUCGACGGAACACGAAUAAAAAAUAACAUAAGGCACAGCUAAAGUAUUGAUAAAUACUUGGUAAUUCGAGAUUUAUCGCUGCACUCCUGGAACUCGAGCACAUUCUCGCUUCGAUAACUUAUCAUCAUGGCGAUUGCUGCUCCCCGAAAGAACUAUCGCAACAAUGAAAACUGGAGGUCGGCAGAAAACGUUGCAGUGUUGCACAACAGCUAGUUUUUUCUAUUUUUUUCAUACCGCUUUUAACCUUUGACGGUCUUCAGUCGGAUGUGUGUAUACGUUCUUUUGAAAUAUGAUCGUAUUUGUUAUCUUCAGUUUAGAACCGGGUAUUAUAUUACAUAUUAGAGCAUCUACAUCUUCGCUCGAUACUUCUUUUAAAUGUAAUCGAUACUCGCUAUUGAGUCAAGAGUAUAAAUGUUCGUGUCGAGUCAAAACCCAUACAAUUUAAUUGAAUGUAAUUCGAUUCGAUUUGACUCGAUAUGAUUCAAUUCCUUGUAAUACAAUUUGGCGGGAAUUUCACUCGAUUCAAUUCUGUCAGAGUUAAUUUACCACGAUUCUAUUCCACCAAAUUCAAUCUGACGCUUUUUAAUUUCGCUCGAUUCAAGUCCACAUUCGAUACAAUUCACCUCAAUCCGGUGUGGUUUGACUGGGUACGUGUUUCAAUUUCACUCGAUUCGGUGCUGUGCAAUUUAAUUCUCCGUACUCUAAACUCCACAAACACUUGCUCACAUUUACCUAUUUGGAAUUGCUUCCCUGAUGUCCAUUUACACUAAACGGCAGGGACUCGCGCUUGUCCUUCUUGCUCAUUUAAUCUAAAUACGCUCUUAUAGAUGUCGGGAGAAGCAUUUAGAAGAAAUGUAGCGACAGAGGAAAGUCUGAGAGAUCGAGAGCAUCGGAACUCGAAUAAAGAAGGUUCCAUGAAGGGACAGGAAACUGAAAACGACAUCCGCGACCAAGAUCAAUACCUCACCAGUGCAAUGCACUCUUGCGUUCCUAGUUACACCUCUAUUGCCCGCGAAAGAGCGUGUGUUGCAAGAGGCAUAACGUUAGAACACCUACAUCUGAAUAACGGAUAAAAUAAAUGAUCCAUCUUCACACGAGACUCUGUAAUUAUUAAUUGAAAGAGCACAAAAAUCGUGCAGGUAGUUAUUCAAGCACUACCGGAAGUAUAGUUAGGUAACGUUUCUUUAAUUCAGUACCUGUUUGACGCAUGGCUAAGGUUGUUUAUUGUUUUCUGACACAGUAGAACGACGGCCAGCUGGCAAGCUAAACAAUUGUUUCUCGGAAUCGUGGAGUCAAAGCGCGGGUGGCGAAGACCCGCGGAAAAGCAAGAAGACAGGAACACGGAAACGGAAACUAGUUCCGGCCAAGAUCAAUACCUAAGUUGUGCAACAGUCUGGCGCAAGCCUUGUGCCUUGGUUGCGUGUGCUCUGUGCGCCGCAUGCUGCGUGCAACGCCUCGUUGCAACCGGUGCAACGUGCAAUGCCACGAUUUGCUGGCAUCACGAGCACACGCUCGGCUAGCCUCAUCUAGCCAGCUGUUGGCUAGGUCAGUGUAAUCGGUAUUAACACCUUGAUUGCCAUGCCGAACACACGACAAACUCAUUAAGUACUUCUAUCGACAACCAGUCUUCAGUCAUUUGUAAAUCCGAAUUUAACGGAGGGUUCUUGAAACCUAAAUCAGAGGUUCAAUUAAUUGUCUAUGCGUUUGUGAUAUAUUGAGUCAUGUAAUCUAUGAGAUCUUGUAGAUUACAUAAGUUAGACUUUGAUAAAUGCAUAAACACUUGCUACCUAUUAAUUAAGUAAACGUAGGAAUAAUUAAUAUGGAUAAUGGAAAUUUAAACAUCACCUAAGUAUAGUUAACGCGUGUACCUGUUAGUGAUGGAACAAAAACAAUACUGAACUUCUACAAUGCAACCUCACUGUCUCAAGUACUCCUUAAGUACUGUAUAGUUCAAACAUGAAUGAUAUCACAUUUACCGAAUGUAAAAAUAGAUACUGAAAGGUUUGAUCAUUAUGAAUGUUUCCUCAGAGCAAAUAGAAGUCUUAUUAUACUAUAGGCAUUCGUUAUAUUGUCAAUUUCCCUAUUUCAGAGUACUGAGAGUUAUAACUGGAACAAUAUCGAAGAAAAAAGUUGCUGGUUCAUCUAGUUUAUUGUCAAGAAUACCUCACUGUAAUUUUUCUCAAAACUUUUACCUGAACGAGGAGACAAGUUUGUGCCUAUUACGAAACUAGUACUUAUGAGAUUAUACUUGCAUACAUCAUUUUCAUUUUAGUUAAUAAGGAUUCUCUUGAGAGUAGUAAUCAGCGGCAAUUAAAAAUGGAGUCACUCCACAUGUGUCAUUAGACUCCAUGAUGCAGAAGCGGUAGAUUAUGAGUUAUGCAAUAGAUGACGUUGCACGAUUUAUAUUUCUGAACUUCGUACAAUUCCUAUUGGCCCAAAUAUCCGAUUGAAAAGUGACGAUCUGAGGUACGUUAUGACCUUGAGAGUUCCAUUAAUUCCGCAGAAUAUUUACAGUACAUUCUCACAUGUGCAGGUCGUAAUUGGACGGAAACUGCUUACACUUUCCGAUGCACAUCGCUCUUGAAAACCAUACUCCUCUUGCGUACACCGAACAAGAUUGUCGAGGUCAGCUUUUAUGACGUAGAUAUGGCUGUGUGACAUUGGCAGUGAGCUUUAAUCUCGUGGUAUCGAGUUACACCUGCUGACCAGUAGCGAGUCUAGGCCAGAUGCGAUUAACGUGACUUACCAGAUUCACAAAUACGAACACGCUAAUUGACGCUGAUUCGUUACAGCCUUUCAAGGCCGUCGCUGAUAAUUAGUUCUGCUCGGAUACCGGUCACUUCCAUCACGCAAUUAUGAAUUAAUUGGAUCAAUGCCUCUUUUUUUCCUUCUUCAAGUACACGCAAGUUCAUCGGACUCGUAUCAGCUGCAUGGUUUAAUGGAGUUACAAAAAACGACAUCCGGCAAUGUUGCAAUAACGGUUAACUGAAAAGCUUGAAUAGCAGCGUUGCAAAUAUAGAUCCUACAGCUAGAUAUGCGGAGGAUAUAAAUAAACGAACGACGGAGAUAACAGUUUAUACGGAGUGGCCUCAAACGAUCAAACUUUACGCGAAGCAUGUUCUUAAAUUUCUGAAUCUUAGAUACACUGGAUCUAUCCAGAAAUUUUUACGCCUGUAAAUUCCGAUACUGUGGUGAAUUGUGAAAGCGAGUGCAGGUUUCUCGACAGGGAUUAACAAAGCAUUAAGUUAUAGAGAGAUAUACAUUCAAAGCGUUAAAUUAUAAGUUUGCGUUUAAAUUAGAUACGUACACCUAUUUGCGUGUAAUAUUUUAUUUUUGCUCGUGAAACGCUGGCGAAGUUUGAUCGUUUUUGUACACCCUGUUUUUAGAUAAACUGUUUCCUUUUCUCUGUCGCCGCGAUCCUAAUUGGAAUAACCGUCACGAGUUAAAUUGUUAUCAGUCGAUAAGCACGUGCCUGUUACUAUUUUUUUCAACAGUGUGCGUGAGACUGAUGUAACUUUAUUGAAAGCUGGCAAUCCUCGUUGUCCUAUUUCUUUAAACUCGACAAUGUUUUUGUGAUAAAGCAAUCUUAUCGCAUCCACUGUAUUCUACGCUCUGGAAGUUAUGUAACCGAGCAGCAGCUGAUAUCAAAGAGUCGAAGAUUGAAAAUCUGACGGAGCGAUAAAGCGCGCGAAUUUUUGAAGUUUGAAAGACCGUCAGUCAACACGUCGUCGUAGCAAUGUCAUUGUUGAUAUCCCCCAGGAGGCCAGCUACCUAUCGUACACACAACACCCAUCCAGGUUCGUAAUUCGUGAGCCCGGAGAAGGAGAGGGAGAGAUUGCUGGCAGUGCACGUUCGAUCUAGCCGGUCUCUAGUAGAACGCAUGCCAGUCAUUGGUCGGUUUGCUCUAUGUGGUGGGCGGAGAUAGGCGUAUGGGAGUACUAAAUCGAGCCAUGGUGUCCCUUUUUUCUAUCCCUUUCUCACCCCCUCUCUCUCGCAUCUCGCUCCCUCCCCGGGCCUACUCCCCUCCCUCUCUCUUUCAUUCACUCCUUCUCCCUCUCUUCGCCGUACUCUCUCUCCCCUCUGUUUCGAUGAUGGGCAUUCAAUUCUCCAACUUCUGCGAGAUUUUCAACAAUUUUCUACGUGUAGAAUUUACCGAAUUCACCGAUCAAUUCUCUCGAAACCACCCCUCUUAUACAUUUCUACAUCUCCACAUUUUCCCUUCGAUACAAUCAAAAAUUUCAGUACAAUUUGUAUUGUUGUAGGUGUAAUUUAGGAGUACCAGUAUCAAUUAAUGUUUGGAGAAGUUUAGUCGAGACCCCGAGUUCAGAGUUUGCAAUUGCGAACUUUAGACCACUUCAGUAAGUUAUGCUGAUAAUUGAAAUUCUCACAUUCGUCCUAAGAUCGCAGUUAUAUUCGUUUUCUUUUAGACGUAGAAUUCCCACGAUACCGUUUAAGAUAGAAUGCAACUGCAUGCAUAAGAACAGAACUUGAAAAUGGAGUAUCCUAGCAGUUCAGUUGCAUCGUUGAUCCAGUCGCUGGAUGCUUCUCGAGCUGCAACCGAAGGCUAAUACACCUUCAGGCCAUUACUGAAUUCAGUCAAAAAACUUACACAAGCAGCCUUUAAACAAAAAUGGAUACAUGUUGGAUUCUAUGCACCUUAGCUUUCAUGAAGAUGAAAAGGAGGAUCAUUAGAAGGAACUAAGACGUUUAGUAAGGAUAGAGUACCUAUUUGCUGCAAUAGUAUUGAUUUUAUAAUUUAAUGAGAAGAACAUUGAAAACAUUGAACACUGAUAAAGAAGGAAUGAAAUUGUAUCUCGAAAGAGGAUGAAGAAAAGGAAGUAGUCAUUCGAUUCGGAAUAUUUAAAAAAUAUCAUCGCAAGAAGAGAAGAGGAUCAGCAGACGCACGAGGUGCAGGAAAGAGUGCAGCUUUUCGUGUAGCGUACAGAAUUCUGGCUCGACUGCUUCUGCAUCCAGGCCCUUCGCCGCCUUUUAGACCUUAAGUUUCAUUCACACCAAACACUUGAAACUUUCUGAUCUCGCAUGUUUACGAAGGAUCUUUGUAUACUUUGAGUUUAAUUUCGUGCUUAAGGUAACACUUUUGUACAUGACGUAUAGAGACAUUAAUAACUUCGCACUAACAUUUUUUAGUUAUUUAGUUAUAAAACAAAUGAACAUUGUAAUCCCUUUUAACAUUGUAAAUCAGAAAAAUUAAAAUUAGAAUUUAAUAAAAAUUUCUUGUUUCAAUAAUAUUCCAAUCUAAGAAUCCUGUCAAGUUACAAGAAGUAGAAUCACUAUUUAAUAAAAUGUAGAAUAUUUGCUGAUUGGUUGCAUCUAUUUCAGGCGUGAAGAAACGUGCAGACAAAUAAUUGGAAGGACCAGAGGCGAUCUAAUCAUAAAGCAUAAUCGGUCAGUUGGAAAUGGUGCCUAACAUCCCUUAGGGCCGCGCAAGGAGAGCUGCAGAGGCCAUUCAACUGUCUACGAUCGAGCAGGCAGGGGACUUUUACAGCGGCCGGAGUCUACCUACUCUCUGAGCUCUCGUAUUCUUCUUGCUCUUCUUCUCUCUCCGUAUCUUCUUCUUCUUCCUCUUCUCCUUCUUCUUCGUCUUGUUUUCUUGUACAGCUUCCUUUUUCUAUGCCCUCCUGAUCUCUCUACCCGGCAAUGGCGUGGCAAGUCAGGGACCAUGCGUGAGAAAGUCGAGCCUAACAUCUUCCAAAUUAUGCUAAAUUUCUGCCCAAUAAUUGAACAGAUAAUUUAGCCGAAGAUGUUCUUAAGUCACGCGCUCAAAAUUUAUGCCCGAUACUUCGUGAUGACUUUCUUCAAACUUUUUAUUUCUACCUCUUUAUCUUACACGAACCACACUUUGUAACUCUGUACAUUGUACUGCUACAUAUUGUAAUAUUAUCACUGAUAAUACUCACGACGCUACAAUGUGUGAAAUUACAGAUGGAAAUUUGUUUGAUACACUCAUUUUGUUCACUCAUUACAUAAGUAACAUAUACAUUUAACUUGAAUAUAAUGAAGAAAGGAUUUCUUCCAUAACACCAAUUUCCAACGAAUUGCCCCUAAUUACACAGCUGUAUCUCAUAAAGUUGUCUAAUCCAUUAAGAAAACAGAUUUCAGCUCCUCUGCUUGAUUUAUUUAACUUAUGGUACUCCCUUAACUUCAUUAACGUUCAUUUCUUAGUGCUUUGACAUUGUUGGAGACAUUAGGGAGUUCUUGUAGAGAUUAAAGUCAUACGAUAAUAUUACCCUUUCACUGUAACACC